rnacentral:lncRNA from 1 species
UCCGAAGAAGACAUUGUGGAGUUGCUUUCUGCAGGAGAUGGCUUGGUGACAGGAGUGCUGCUCGGCGCUCGAGUUGGACUGCGACGGCCACUGGAGUGAGUGGAGUCUUGCUUGGCGACUGGACUGCUGCUCGGUGACAGGACUGCUUCUCGGUGAAUGGAUUGCUCCUCGGCGACGGCGACCCAGCGAGGCAGCGACGGCGACCCAGCG